rnacentral:lncRNA from 13 species
CUGAUGGUUUUAUAAUGGGCUUUUCCCCACCUUUCCUCUGCACUUCUCCUUGCUGCUGCCAAGUGAAGAAGAACUUGUUUGCUUCCCCUUCCACCAUGAUUGUGAGUUACCUGAGGCCUCCCCAGCUCUGCAGAACUGUGUUGAAGAGCUGUGUCUCCUUCAUCGUUACAUCCCUAGGGUCCGUGGCUGUCUCAUUGAGUGUUUGCUGAAUAGAGAGGCUGCCAGGGUGAACCUCCAACAUUGUCUUAAAAAAAAAAAAACGUGUGAUUUGGAGGAAAAUGCAAAACGAUCACUAAUAAAGGUAUACCCAGCUAGCA